rnacentral:rRNA from 1 species
GACGAACGCUGGCGGCGUGCCUAAUACAUGCAAGUUGAGCGCUGAAGGUUGGUACUUGUACCGACUGGAUGAGCAGCGAACGGGUGAGUAACGCGUGGGGAAUCUGCCUUUGAGCGGGGGACAACAUUUGGAAACGAAUGCCAAUACCGCAUAAAAACUUUAAACACAAGUUUUAAGUUUGAAAGAUGCAAUUGCAUCACUCAAAGAUGAUCCCGCGUUGUAUUAGCUAGUUGGUGAGGUAAAGGCUCACCAAGGCGAUGAUACAUAGCCGACCUGAGAGGGUGAUCGGCCACAUUGGGACUGAGACACGGCCCAAACUCCUACGGGAGGCAGCAGUAGGGAAUCUUCGGCAAUGGACGAAAGUCUGACCGAGCAACGCCGCGUGAGUGAAGAAGGGUUUCGGAUCGUAAAACUCUGUUGGUAGAGAAGAACGUUGGUGAGAGUGGAAAGCUCAUCAAGUGACGGUAACUACCCAGAAAGGGACGGCUAACUACGUG